GCGCGUGAGCUCGUGUGUGAAGACUAGUAUAUUGUAAUAUGAGUGAACUGGAUAUACCACGUGGCCAUGUUUGAUUACCACACAAUAGUUUUGCCCAUUUAUUGUGCCUAAGAUCACAGUCCAACAAACCAUUCUUAUCUUCAUAUUUCUAUACAUCCUUCCAUUAUUAAACCAUAAACUGUUGUAAAAAUGCAUUAUUUAAUUAAUAUGGAGCUUAAUUAUAAACAAGAAUGCCUGAUAAAACUCAGCCAUAUAUAUACAUAUAUGUGGGAAAAUUUGAGCUCGAUCAGAAAGUGAAAAUCUGCUACAUGUUUGCUGUAUGCAUAACUGGCCAGACUGGCCUCGACAGCAAAUUACAUUUUUAGAUUUUCCAAAGAUUUUGUGUACCAAAUUCAAAGAUUGUUCCUCAAAAAUGUCGAAGUAGCUGGAGGCAUCAUAAUUUGUGCCAAAACAGACCAAUCAAGUAUAAAAGCUCAAACCCUUUUGACGUAAUUGUGUUUUUGUUGUUGCUCAGUAGAGAAAUCAAACGCACCUGAUGAAUGUGCAACAUGUGGCAUUGACUCAAUUACUCUACGCAAAAGCCGGCAGCCACCUUGUCGGUGCCGUUCGUAGUAAUAUUUGGUCUCAAAG
rnacentral:lncRNA from 1 species